GUGCUCACUUCGGCAGCACAUGUACUAAAAUUGGAAGGAUACAGAGAACAUUAGCGUGGCCCCUGUGCAAGGAUGAUAUGCAAAUUAGUGAAGUGGUCCAUAAUUUU
ensembl:snRNA U6 U6 spliceosomal RNA